GCAGCAGCAGCACUGAAAGCAUGCAGGCGCUUCAUCAGGAGAUCUAUAUUUAGCAUCAGAAGAUGCUGCUGGCUCGUCCUCCACCUCAAAAAUUGCAAAGGAGCUGACACGGGGAGCUCGCCUGUCCUUUCCCUCAUGAAGGAGGAGGCAAGGGCAACGAGGGGUAAAACAUUAAUGCAGCACUUGGAGAGAAAAUGACACGCCUCGGUAGUCAGAGGUUAUGUGUUAGGUCAGGAGAAGCUCGGAUUCAAUAGCAGCGUCCCAGUCAGAUGCAUGAGCCAAUCUGUGCAAACUAACUAACAGCGUGUUGACAGAGUAAACACACUGCGGCCCAGUUUAGAGUCUGAAACAGGUUCACAAUCUGUGUUUGCUCAGCUAAACAAGUAGAGAACAAAUUAUUGCUGUUGUUGUUUUUUUUUUAUUAACAAAGACGUUCACUGUUUGCAGCACGAAUACUGAAUAUAUGAUCUGAUCUAUGAAUCGGUGCUGGGAAACAGAAACAAGGGCCUUGAAGUGUUCCAGCGUCACGUUAAUGUGACACCAGGAGAGCAGACCUGAAGGACAAAGUGCUGAACCGAAGCUAACCCGUCUCUACGACCUUCACAUGAACGCUGCAGCUCCUUGUUCAGGUCACAAACGGACAGAUCGACGUUCCAAGAUCGCAAAGCUGUUAAAGAAAGAAAAGGUGUGAAUGCUGACCGUCACGGUGACCAUCCAGGAAGUUGAACUCUUCCCCAAGAUGAAGAAGAGGCUCAGAGGCCAUUUUGACAGUAACAAUGAGGUUUCUCCUCACAUGAAUGUUCCUGAUCAGAGGCCGUGCUCCUGCUGUCUGUGUGGCGCUGACACCUCCUGCCCUGCUGAUGGAUCACCGUGGGGGUUAAUUUGCCUCUUCUCUGUUUAAUUCUCU